UGCACUCCCAACUGUAAGUAACUCUGGAUAAGAGUGUCUGCUAAAUGCCUCAAC
rfam:Salmo salar isolate Sally breed double haploid chromosome ssa25, whole genome shotgun sequence.